rnacentral:rRNA from 1 species
GUGAGGAAUAUUGCGCAAUGGAGGCAACUCUGACGCAGCCAUGCCGCGUGCAGGAAGAAGGCGCUACGCGUUGUAAACUGCUUUUAACCGGGAAGAAACCCCAGGACGUGUCCUGGGUUGACGGUACCGGAGGAAUAAGCACCGGCUAACUUCGUGCCAGCAGCCGCGGUAAUACGAAGGGUGCAAGCGUUAUCCGGAUUCAUUGGGUUUAAAGGGUGCGUAGGCGGAGCGUUAAGUCAGUGGUGAAAUCCUGCAGCUUAACUGUAGACUUGCCAUUGAUACUGGCGCUCUUGAGUGCGCUUGAAGUGGGCGGAAUGUGCCGUGUAGCGGUGAAAUGCUUAGAUAUGGCACAGAACACCAAUUGCGAAGGCAGCUCACUAAGGCGAUACUGACGCUGAGGCACGAAAGCGUGGGGAUCAAACAGGAUUAGAAACCAGAGUAGUCC